rnacentral:lncRNA from 1 species
CCUACUGGGAUAUUAUUCUGCUUCUCCUGCCGCUUCUUGCUGGUUCUGUUUUCUUCUUUUUUCUUUUUCUUUCAUUUUCAUUUUCUUUCUUUUCCUUUUCAUUUUCUUUCUUCUUUCUUUUUCUUUGUAAAUCCUUGGUACUUAAGGGAGUAAAUCAUAAAGCACAAGGAAAAAACAUUUAACGAUUUGAAGAAAUAUUUGAGAAAAUCAAAGUCAAGCUUCAAAUUGGGUUGUAUCUAUAAUUUUGUAUUUUCUUAAUUAUUUUGCCGUGUUUGCAAUGUAAUAAAUGAAUAUUCUCCUUUGUUAUUAUAUAUAUAACAUGGGCUAAUUUAUUGUAUUGGGAUUUAUGGUAUUAAUUUAACCUUGCUUUUAAUUAAUUUUGUUAUUUACUCUUUAAUGUUAA